AUUGAACGCUGGCGGCAUGCCUUACACAUGCAAGUCGAACGGUAACAGGUCCUCGGAUGCUGACGAGUGGCGAACGGGUGAGUAAUACAUCGGAACGUGCCUAGUAGUGGGGGAUAACUACUCGAAAGAGUGGCUAAUACCGCAUGAGAUCUACGGAUGAAAGCAGGGGAUCGCAAGACCUUGUGCUACUAGAGCGGCCGAUGGCAGAUUAGGUAGUUGGUGGGAUAAAAGCUUACCAAGCCGACGAUCUGUAGCUGGUCUGAGAGGACGAUCUGCAACACUGGGACGGCGACACGCCCCAUACUCCUAUGGGGGGCAGCAUUGGGGCAUUUUGGACAAUGGGCCCAAGCCUGUUCCAGCAAUGCCGCGUGCAGGAUGAAGGCCUUCGGUUUGUAAACUGCUUUUGUACGGAACGAAAAGUCCCGGGUUAAUACCCUGGGGUCAUGACGGUACCGUAAGAAUAAGCACCGGCUAACUACGUGCCAGCAGCCGCCGUAA
rnacentral:rRNA from 1 species